ACGUUAUGUGGGCACUCUAAGGAGACUGCCGGUGACAAACCGGAGGAAGGUGGGGAUGACGUCAAGUCAUCAUGGCCCUUACGGCCUGGGCUACACACGUGCUACAAUGGUCGGUACAAAGGGUUGCCAAGCCGCGAGGUGGAGCUAAUCCCAUAAAACCGAUCGUAGUCCGGAUCGCAGUCUGCAACUCGACUGCGUGAAGUCGGAAUCGCUAGUAAUCGUGAAUCAGAAUGUCACGGUGAAUACGUUCCCGGGCCUU
rnacentral:rRNA from 1 species